UACGUAGGGCGCAAGCGUUUGUCCGGAAUUAUUGGGCGUAAAGAGCUCGUAGGCGGUUUGUCGCGUCUGCUGUGAAAACCUCCGGCUCAACCUGGGGCUUGCAGUGGGUACGGGCAGACUAGAGUGCGGUAGGGGUGACUGGAAUUCCUGGUGUAGCGGUGGAAUGCGCAGAUAUCAGGAGGAACACCGAUGGCGAAGGCAGGUCACUGGGCCGCAACUGACGCUGAGGAGCGAAAGCAUGGGGAGCGAACAGG
rnacentral:rRNA from 1 species